rnacentral:rRNA from 1 species
UACAGAGGUCUCAAGCGUUGUUCGGAUUCAUUGGGCGUAAAGGGUGCGUAGGCGGCGCGGUAAGUCGGGUGUGAAAUCUCGGAGCUUAACUCCGAAACUGCAUUCGAUACUGCCGUGCUUGAGGACUGGAGAGGAGACUGGAAUUUACGGUGUAGCGGUGAAAUGCGUAGAUAUCGGGAAGAACACCCGUGGCGGAAGGCGGCCUGCUGGGCCGAUCCUGACGCUGAGGCGCGAAGGCGUGGGGAGCGAACGGG